UGUGCAUGUAUAUGUCUUAUGUUUGCAUGCGUGUUGUCGAUGUUUAACCCGGUUAGCUUGCUAGUCACGCGUCCGUCUUUGUUUUGUGUUACAAUAAAACGUUUCGUUGUGUUCGACACGACUCGUCCCCGCAUCCUGCUUUUCCUAACCACGUCACAGAAUGGAUCUCAUUUAUAACUUUCACCGCUACGUGUGCAAAGGGACGCUACUGUAUUGGCCCUGAGGAGGAACAGACAGGCAGGAUCUGACUGAUACCAGAGGGACAGAUUAAGAAUAAACGAAACAAACUGAAGACCAAAGCGACCAGAGGAACUCACAACAUGCUGAAUGUUUUAUGCUGAAGCGUGAGAGUGAACAAGAGGCUGAGACAUGGGAAGGAUGAAAAAGGUAACAAAUGAGCCCCGUUUGUGGAUGUUUACAACCUGCGAUGAUGCACUAACUGCUUUAGUCUUUUCAUGACUGGAUCAAAAGUUUUCACAAGAACAAAUGUUUAAACUACCCCCUCUGCCAACACACAACUAGAGAGCUGGACAGGUGUUCCUGUAUAAGUACAGACUUAUAGUGAAUGAAGGACAAAAUGUGUUUACAGUACACCCUGAUUACAGUUGCUUAUCUAAGAUGGAAUGGAAAGUCGGAGUUAAAAAAAAAGGUUGGUUUUUUUUUUCCUCUUGUAAUGUUUGGGCAGGGGAUAAAUUAUGAAAAGAUUAAAUUACAAUGUAAAAAAUAAGCGACUAUCUUAUUUAUAAAAAUAUAGGUGUGACAGCAUCGUUCCAACGCACUAGCCUUUUCCUGGCCAGACUUGGGUCACCGUCGCCUGAGCACUGAUGAGCAGCACUCUCCUUCGUUCCAGCUCCCUUUAUAACGUCCCAGUUUCCCCCCUCAAACUUGCGAAGUAUUGCAUUCCUCUAUGCGUACCGAGCGUUCUUUAUUCUUGUUUCCCCUGGCUUUUGACCUCUGCUUCCUCCCCAGACUAUGCCUUGUUCCUAGCCCCUUGGGUUACUUUGGUUUGUGCCUGCUGACUUGCAGUGUGAACAGUACCCGCCAGUCUCCUGAUCCGAACUUCCCCAGCAUUGACGACUACCCUACAUAUCCACCUCACACCCAUUCCUGCCAGUACCGAUAAACCCGUGCACUUGGAUCCUCACUUACCUGUGUCUUGGAGUUCGUUACAAUAUGACAUUGUUUCUAGU